CCGUUAAUUGUUUUUUCA
rnacentral:siRNA from 1 species